AUUCUUCCGAUGCAGGGAAGGAUGAGAAGCUUCGACUAAGGUUCGAUUCGAGCGCAGCGAGAAAGCGUUGCCGCAGGCAACGACCCGAAGAGCGAGGCGCAACGCGCCGAGUAAUCCUUCCCCCACCACCA
rnacentral:sRNA from 1 species